UACGUAGGGGGCGAGCGUUGUCCGGAUUCAUUGGGCGUAAAGCGCGCGUAGGCGGCUUCGUAAGUCGGCCGUGAAAUCUCCAGGCUUAACUUGGAGGGGUCGGGCGAGACUGCGGAGCUCGAGGUGGGCAGAGGGCAGUGGAAUUCCGGGUGUAGUGGUGAAAUACGUAGAGAUUGGGAAGAACACCAGUGGCGAAGGCGGCUAUCUGGACGGUUUCUGACGCUAAGACGCGAAAGCGUGGGGAGCAAACAGG
rnacentral:rRNA from 1 species